AAUGCUGCCAACAUGGUGUGUUUUAGUCCUUUAAGUAGUAGUGCCGCAGGUAAGGGCUUGCCACUGUUACCUGCACACAACUGCUUGACUGAUUAAAUCACUGAAACGCAACGCGAACGC
rnacentral:pre_miRNA from 14 species